GAGGUUUUCUUCCGCAACAAGUCACGGGGCUGUCAUGUGACCGAAGGAAAUAUCGCGAGAUUUGACCAAUUCAUCCAAAAGAGCCAGCAGGCGUUUGGAAGCCUAUCUGUGCAGCUGACACCAGACACAGACAGUGGAUGUGAAGCUGGAGAAGGUUUGCUCUUUAGACCUUCUGUGGCACAUCUGGACGUCUCUACAAGCAGUAAACGCGGCAUGCAUAAAGCAAGGACGAUUGUCUUGUACUCUUUCCUGAAGUUUUGGUUCAGCAGACCAUAUAUGAUAGCGUUGAGGCAGCUGUUGAAGUACGCCAUAAAGUAACUCGUGACAAACAACCAUUCAGGACUCUGACUUCUGCCUGACAUCCUGCAGCUCCACGCUUCCCUUCACUGUGAUCAGGACAGACCCCAGUUUUCUGUCCUCUGUCUGGAUGAACCCUCUCCCCUUAUUGUCGAGAGGAUGGGGAGGACUCCGAGGCAGAGGAGGAGCGGUUCACACUGAAGGCCAGGUCUGAGUCACUGUCGUCUGGACUACUGCUCUGUGAGGGGCUGGGCAAGGGGCUGGGCUGUAAUGUUCCUGUGGCACCAGACAG